CACCUGCCGUCUUUCUCCUCUUCUUAAUAAAUGCGGGACAUUCUCACCGAGUUUGGCACUUGCUAGUUGAAAGAAGCGACAGGUACAGUUAGUACACGACUGGAAGCAUCAGCCAUGAAUACAAAAACGAUUCUUGUUCUUGUUGUUAUUGCCUCUGUGUUGGUGCUUGAAUCAAUAGCCGUUCCUGUCCAAAGAAGCAAAGCAAUUGACUUGUUGCUCAAACGCUUCCAAGACAUAAAAAGACUUUCAAAGAAAUGUAAUCGAAUCGACAAAUCGUGCUAUGAUUCAAGGGAAUGCUUCUGUGACGGGGUACGACGCGUAGAAUGCUCUUCGAUUCGAAAGGAUGGAAGAGGAACUUGCACUGCAGCCCUCGGUCCAAAUGAUUUUCUUCAAUAACUAGAGAAUAAUUCUAAUCAUCUUAAUUUAAAAAAGUGCAUAUAAAGGAUUUUUCAUGCCUUCUAAGAAAAGUUUAACGAUUUUAAAUUGGAAUCUAAAAACGGUGUUAGAUUCGAAAACCUCUCAAGAAAAGCGUGCCAUGAUUUGCGACAACUCUUGUCUGGACCACAGGGAGCCCAGGCUCAACACAGUUUUGUUGCUUUCACGGUGUUGUCAAUGUUUGCGUGGUUCGCGGUUCGAAGCGUGGUUCCCUUAUGAAGCCGUAAAUUUUUUCUACUUCAUUUC
rnacentral:misc_RNA from 1 species